rnacentral:lncRNA from 1 species
GUAUUGUUGGUAUUUUUAGGGUUAGAUUUUGAAAUAUUAUCUUUUUAAUUUUUUUUUAGUUUGACAUAUAUGUGUUUAGUGACUAUCUAAUUACUUGAUUUAAACAUUUUUCUAAGUUUUUUUUUAAGUUUAGGGAAGUGUUUUUGCUUAGUUAUUUGAUUAUAGGGUCUGGAAGACUCCGAGAAGACUUUGGUUUAGGGUUUAGUAACAUAUGUUAUAGUAUUGUUUGCAUUUAGGGUUUGAUUUUAGAAUGUUAACUUUAAAAAAGAAAAAAAAUUGACCUACAUGUGUUUAGUUUAGUGUAUAUUAAACGCUUUACAAGUUAUAUUAAGUUUAAUGAAUUGUUUUUUUGAUAUUUAGUUAGUUAUUUGAUUAGGUUUAUGGUUUGAAAAACUUCCAGAAGACUUCUUCUGACAUAUUGCCGCCUAAAUUUUAGUAAAAUUUAGGUUUCCCGUUUAAAGCGAAGUCUUCCAAAAGUCUUCUCAUGUAUUUGAUUUUAGGGUCUAGAAGACUUCUCUCUUAGAAGACUUCCCAAGAAAUCUUAUGUAUCGAAAAUAUUUAACCUAUCUGGAAUUUUUGUCUUCAUAUAUAAAAAAAAAUUACACAUUCUCUUUCUUCCUUUCAAAUGGCUGCAACAAAAAUUUAAUGUUUCUCACUCUAAAAAUCUCCAACAUAUCUCUAAUCUCUUUGAACAUCAAAAGACCAAACUUUAAAUCUAUUUCUUAUGUUUUCUCACUAAUUUAUCUUAUUUUUGCAGAUUUUUCAUUACAUGUUUCUCAUCUUUCACUCCUUCAAAGGUAGAUCUAUAAAUUUUGGAUAUGUAUUAUUGUG